GGGCCAUUAGCUCAGGUGGUUAGAGCGCACCCCUGAUAAGGGUGAGGUCCCUGGUUCAAGAUCAGGAUGGCCCA
rnacentral:tRNA from 1 species